rnacentral:lncRNA from 1 species
GCCAUAUACAGCAUGGAACAGGGCUCCACAAGGACAUGAAUACCAGGUGGCAGGGAUCACUGGGCCAUCUCUCUAAAUCACGAAUGAAACAUUUGCAACCUGUGUCUCCCAAACAUGAUAUGUCUCAAUCAUCAAAGGAUCUACAGUGACUACAAUAACCAAGUGCUACAAAAACGCUGUGACGAGGAAUCUGAACAACAGAGAUUUGAGGGAAACAAAACACUUUCGACGAAGGUCCUGCUGCUUGUCUUCAGCUUGGUACCAAUUAGAGCUUCACUGGAGGUGAAAAGAUUCAAAGAUGAGUGAAGCAUAGCAUCUUUCCUGCAUAAACAUUUAAAAAAGGAGAAAGUGAGAGAGAGGAGUCUUCCAUCCACUUCUAAAUAGAACAAAAUGAUAUCUCAGUGCCCUUAACUUUGAAACUGAAACAGAGCUUCUAGAUCAUCUCAAGAUUUUGCAGCUUUGGAGAAAGCAAGCUGUAGGACUCAUGGCAUAGUGAGCAGCAUUUUUGCCAUGAGCGUCUGCAUUAGGAAAAUCUGGAGACUGCCGUCUCAAAGGGCUCCUUGGGCCAUGGAUCACUGCUCAGGGGAUGGGAGGAGGCAAGUCUAGGAGGGCCUGCCUGUGAGCUCAGGUGAGAUGCCCUUGAGGCCACUAGGGAGAAGGUGGGCCAGAGUCAUUGAUGGGAUUUGAAUAGUGAAGGGGUUAAUAAGCCAAUGAAAUGUGGAUUGCUCAACUUAAUAUAAGCACAUAAGUACUGUGUGAGGAAAAACAAACUGUGGAGAAAAUAGAUUUUCCUCUGCUCUCAUCCCACAACAAUGAACACAGAAGACUUCUGUGACCAAAUGUGGGUCCUCCGCUGCACCCCACACACCAAGCAAGUGAUCAAUUCUGCAGUGGACACCAGCAUUCGGUAUCCUCCACUUCAAUCCUGACACCAUCUACCUGGAGAUAGCAUCAGAUACCGCAGGUUGGGGGCUCAGUCCCACAAGACUGCCCUCGACUUUGGAUGCCAAUCACAAGCCCCAGGUUUUUAUAUCUGUGCUUCUGACUGGCUGUAAAUAGAAGUUCCCAAAAUUCCCUUCUCCUGUUCGAUUAGUUUGCUAGAGUGGCUCACAGAACUUGUUACAGGUAGUUAGACAGGCAUGAGUGGGGCAGGAGAGGGUCCUCCCUCACCUACUAGGAAUGUUGGGUGAUGGUUUGGCAAUUAUCACAUUGCCUCUCUAAAAGUGAUAAGUUGCCAGCCGGUGCCAGGGAAAGGCCACUUCCUGAUGAUCUACACCUGUUGCACUAAAGUGUUAAUUGAAUGCAGAUGCCAGUGGGGAGCAAAUUUCUGGGCAUGCACAUUAAGAGACAAAAUGGCUGAGUAUGAUCUUCCAGGCACACUCCACCAGAAAAGGGAAGAAAAGCCUCAGAUGGGCAUGUGUACAACUUCCUAAACACACUGCAUGUGGUCAUUUUCCAAGCAUAAGGAGGGUACUGUGCAUGCAGGCAGCCCACCCUAAGGUAGAAUCAUGGGAAAGGGGCCAGCCUAUAAAGUCCUAGGAUCCAGGUUAAAGACCACACUUGUUCUUCAAGUCACAUGCUUGGGUCUCUUCCAAGCACAC